CCUACGGGAGGCAGCAGCAAGGGAUAUUGCGCAAUGGGCGAAAGCCUGACGCAGCGACGCCGCGUGAGGGACGAAGGCCUUCGGGUCGUAAACCUCUUUUCUUGGUGAAGAGUAAGGACGGUAAUCAAGGAAUAAGCCCCGGCUAACUACGUGCCAGCAGCCGCGGUAAUACGUAGGGGGCGAGCGUUAUCCGGAUUCACUGGGCGUAAAGAGCGUGUAGGCGGCUUCCAAAGUUGGCAGUGAAAGGUCCUGGCUUAACUGGGAUAUGCCUGCCAAUACUGGGGAGCUAGAGGGCAGCAGAGGAAAGUGGAACUCGCGGUGUAGCGGUGAAAUGUGUAGAUAUCGCGAGGAACACCAGUGGCGAAGGCGGCUUUCUGGGCUGUUCCUGACGCUGAGACGCGAAAGCGUGGGGAGUGAAGCGGAUUAGAUACCCGCGUAAUCCACGCCUUAAACGGUGGAUACUAGGUAUGGGGGGUAUCGACCCUCUCCGUGCCGAAGCUAACGCCUUAAGUAUCCCGCCUGGGGACUACGGCCGCAAGGCUAAAACUCAAAGGAAUUGACGG
rnacentral:rRNA from 1 species